rnacentral:rRNA from 1 species
GACGAACGCUGGCGGCGUGCCUAAUACAUGCAAGUCGAGCGAAGUUUUUCUGGUGCUUGCACCGGAAAAACUUAGCGGCGAACGGGUGAGUAACACGUAAAGAACCUGCCUCAUAGACUGGGACAACUAUUGGAAACGAUAGCUAAUACCGGAUAACAGCAUUAACUGCAUGGUUGAUGUUUAAAAGUUGGUUUUGCUAACACUAUGAGAUGGCUUUGCGGUGCAUUAGCUAGUUGGUGGGGUAAAGGCCUACCAAGGCGACGAUGCAUAGCCGACCUGAGAGGGUGAUCGGCCACACUGGGACUGAGACACGGCCCAGACUCCUACGGGAGGCAGCAGUAGGGAAUCUUCCGCAAUGGGCGAAAGCCUGACGGAGCAACGCCGCGUGAGUGAAGAAGGAUUUCGGUUCGUAAAGCUCUGUUGUUAGGGAAGAAUGAGUGUGUAGUAACUAUACACAGUAGAGACGGUACCUAACCAGAAAGCCACGGCUAACUACGUG